AGAGUUUGAUCCUGGCUCAGGAUGAACGCUGGCGGCGUGCGUAAUACAUGCAAGUCGAACGCUUUGUCUUUAAUUGAUAUGAAGAGCUUGCUCUGAUUUGAUUUUAUCUGACAAAGAGUGGCGAACGGGUGAGUAACACGUGGGUAACCUACCUCUUAGCAGGGGAUAACAUUUGGAAACAAGUGCUAAUACCGUAUAACACUAACAACCACAUGGUUGUUAGUUGAAAGAUGGUUCUGCUAUCACUAAGAGAUGGACCCGCGGUGCAUUAGCUAGUUGGUAAGGUAAUGGCUUACCAAGGCGAUGAUGCGUAGCCGAGUUGAGAGACUGAUCGGCCACAAUGGGACUGAGACACGGCCCAUACUCCUACGGGAGGCAGCAGUAGGGAAUCUUCCACAAUGGGCGCAAGCCUGAUGGAGCAACGCCGCGUGUGUGAUGAAGGGUUUCGGCUCGUAAAACACUGUUAUAAGAGAAGAACGACAUUGAGAGUAACUGUUCAGUGUGUGACGGUAUCUUAUCAGAAAGGAACGGCUAAAUACGUGCCAGCAGCCGCGGUAAUACGUAUGUUCCAAGCGUUAUCCGGAUUUAUUGGGCGUAAAGCGAGCGCAGACGGUUAUUUAAGUCUGAAGUGAAAGCCCUCAGCUCAACUGAGGAAGGGCUUUGGAAACUGGAUAACUUGAGUGCAGUAGAGGAAAGUGGAACUCCAUGUGUAGCGGUGAAAUGCGUAGAUAUAUGGAAGAACACCGGUGGCGAAAGCGGCUUUCUGGACUGUAACUGACGUUGAGGCUCGAAAGUGUGGGUAGCAAACAGGAUUAGAUACCCUGGUAGUCCACACCGUAAACGAUGAGUGCUAGAUGUUCGAGGGUUUCCGCCCUUGAGUGUCGCAGCU
rnacentral:rRNA from 1 species